UUAGUUAAGCUAAUUUAGCGUUGCAACUAAACUAACUAAGUAUAAAAAACAAAAUCUUAAUUUGCGUGUAUGGUUCAAUUUUUAUGCGCGAUGAAAGUCAAAGUUGUGAAACAUUCACUCACUUUUGCUCGGUACUGUAUUGUAUACAUAUAUACAUGUGUAUAAAUUAAAAACUUAGAUACUCGCGCUCUCUGUCGGCGUGAUGUGUAAAUAUAAUUAUAAUUAUAUGUAUGUAUCUAUGUGUGUAUAUUAAGUUUGGUUUUUUACACUCAGAAUCCAUUUUAUGAGAAAUAAAAUAUAAUUGUGAAGUCAAUAUAUAAAACAAGGUGGAGCAUGCGUGACAAAUGGCUGAGUUGCUCUAGCUUUGCGUGUCCGUCCGCAUGCUCGUCCGUAUUCUAUCCCAUUAUUGCUUAUUACCGAUAAACAUCAAUCAUUUCAUCUCAAAAGUUGUUAUUUUCAAGAAAGAGGUGUCGCAAAGCCCGUAAAGAAUAUAUAUUACUGAUCAGGACAACGAGCUGAGUCGAUACAGCCCAAUCAGUUCCUUAUGAAUGGCCUUGUCGUCGUUAAUACUAUAAUAUGCUUUUGUAAGUUCCUGCAUUGCAAAACCUUAUGAACUAAAAGCUUAUUAUAGGUUGUUUAUUUUUAGAUGUAGAGUCUCAAAAUUACGCAUAUAAGCUCGUGUAUAUUUAAUAUAAAAUAUUAUUUUAGUAUAUUUAGGAUACGGUCCCCUGCCCUCAAAAUUUGGCAAAACCUAUUGGGCAUGCUAGAUCCCUGUGCUUUGGUAAAUACUCACAUUUACGGUUGAUAAAGAGAGUUCAUCUCCGAGAAAACCAAACCGUCAGCAGAGAUCGUGUCUAUGCAGAAAAAAAAACGAAUAAUUAUUGGAUUAUCAGCUCAUCGAGGUCUUCAGGGAAUCUCGUAGUAGAGCAAUGUCGAAUAGGGCACUCUCAAUUGUUUGUUUAGAAUUUAUCCUCAUCUCAACAGAACUUAUUUUAGUGGAAUUUAGUUUAAAUUUAAAUGAUUUAAAUUAAGAUUUAUUUGGAGUUACUGUUGAUUUCUAUCAUUGUCCGAAAUAUACUUUCUACCCUUCUUUGAGAGCGUUACAAACUACAAAAGCACGCUAAACACUCCAAAUGUAACAACCAAAUUACAGAUGAAUCGCUGGUAAGGAUUGUUAUUCUAAAAUUUAAGGUCGGUGCUUGGUUAUUGUAAAAAUGAUUGAUAAAGACAAUAAAAUUUGAUUUUCAUGUGUU